UGUAGAGAGAGCACAAAGCAGCGUUCAGCGGGCUGCUGGCUUCCUCGUGAUUUCUUGUGUUCAACUCAUGUCUAUGUUAUCGUUGAGUUUAAUCGGCAAGAUAUACUGCAUCUCGUGCGUGACGUUUGUUGUUGUGUUCGCUAUUCGUCUGACGUUGCAAAAGCUGUUGUGCCAGUGCCGUGACCACAUGCCGUAGAACUUGCCGGACCAGCUUGGACCUUGCCGGAAACAGCGAGCCGUUCUGCCUCUGAUUACAGCCCCGCCGCCGUGGUUUCUUUGCGGCUGUUCAAGGGGAGAACAAGCGACAGUUGGAUUACUCGAAGUUUGCCAAACGGACUUGGGUUUCCCCCUCAGCUCGCGUAAUCGGCACCGAAGUCUAGCCUCUUUGUAGUGGAUUUGCGCCAACUUCCGUGUGCGUGACGCCGAGAGGAGUCUGUCGUUCAUUGGGUGCCCGGACCAGAAGUUCUGUUCUGGACCAGAAGUGAUUUAGUGAGAGCGGCAUCCGGAAAGCGGCCAUCAAAAUGCACGUCGGAGCGAGCAAUGCGGAGACUUCGAGCAAGGAACUUUUCUCUGACCUUCGUAAAGGAAAUUCUGCGUGCUGAACAGUUCGAGAGCCUUGCCUCUUAAACAUCGCCGAUGCCGCGAACGGAAAGCGAAGUCAAAGCUCCACGAAGAUCGGACACAGAUCAAACAAAACAAACACAAUCAGUCGCCUGUCUUCGACUGACUGGUCCCGCUGCGGCCCGUAUGUCAUAAUACGCAAGGAGAUCGAAUGCUUGCCCUGCAAGGAGCUCGAAAGCAUCCCCGAAGACCUACAGCACGAGUGCGUUACAACCCUCGAAGAUUUCCAACUUCGAUGCCUCAAUACGGCUGUCCUCACAUUUUGAACUCCGUGGGCAGCGCGAACCUAUGAGCGCCCAUAUUCACAAACAACACAGGUGCACUGCACAUCGCCAGUUUGCAAGGUGACCUUGGCACUAGCUUGGGAAAAACAAGAGGACAGUCAUCUGAGCUUGUGCAGUGAACAGGAUCUUGGAAGCCUAUCCCCCAGAAACUGCCAAAGGCUUGAAGUACCCAAGAUACUAAAUGGAGGUACAUCUUCGCACUGCUUCUCCAUCACAUUCAAAAUAUCAAAUUCAGCAUCAGUGUUUUAGCAUGAUUCAUAGCCAUGCAGAAUGAUGCAUGGCUAGGAGCUCAAUAUGCUGUAUUGAAAUACAACACUAAAGACAUUUUUUAUUAGUCUUGCGGGGCGACAGACGAUCUCUCCUUUCAUGGCAUUGUGUACCGUUGCUAAAAUGGAGCUGUUUUGUAGUAAGGCUGAUGAACAAACGAAAAUAGUCUGCCUUCCAAAUAUAUAUGUUCCUUGUAACUUCUGUUUUUUUAAGUAAGCCAUGUUGAUGUCCCCCCUCAUGUAAUGCGCAAAAGGCCUUUGAUGUAUAUUCAUAAAUAAAUAAAUAUCAAAAC